GUGAAUCAUCGAAUUUUUGAACGCAAAUUGCACUCUCCUCGAAGAGUAUGUCUGUUUGAGGGUCAGCCUAUGAAAAAUUGAAAUCGUUGGUGUUUCGCGGUUGCGUUCGUCGGAAAUUGGGUCGUCUUCGAUCUUUUGGUUUUAAGUGACUUUAAAUUUUCUCUUUAGUUUCUUGAACGUUUCUAAGAUUUAUUUCUUUACACGUUUAAGGUAUCGA
rnacentral:misc_RNA from 1 species